rnacentral:rRNA from 1 species
UUCGCUGACGAGUGGCGGACGGGUGAGUAAUGUCUGGGAAACUGCCUGAUGGAGGGGGAUAACUACUGGCUAAUACCGCAUAACGUCGCAAGACCAAAGAGGGGGACCUUCGGGCCUCUUGCCAUCGGAUGUGCCCAGAUGGGAUUAGCUGUAGGUGGGGUAACGGCUCCCUAGGCGACGAUCCCUAGCUGGUCUGAGAGGAUGACCACCACACUGGAACUGAGACACGGUCCAACUCCUACGGGAGGCAGCAUGGGGAAUAUUGCACAAUGGGCGCAAGCCUGAUGCACCAUGCCGCGUGUAUGAAGAAGGCCUUCGGGUUGUAAAGUACUUUCAGCGGG